rnacentral:rRNA from 1 species
CAUUUACGGAGAGUUUGAUCCUGGCUCAGGACGAACGCUGGCGGCGUGCUUAACACAUGCAAGUCGAACGGUGAAGAGGAGCUUGCUCCUUGGAUCAGUGGCGAACGGGUGAGUAACACGUGAGCAAUCUGCCCUUGACUCUGGGAUAACUGCGGGAAACUGUAGCUAAUACCGGAUAUUACCUUGGAAGGCAUCUUCUGGGGUGGAAAGAAUUUUGGUCAAGGAUGAGCUCGCGGCCUAUCAGCUAGUUGGUGAGGUAAUGGCUCACCAAGGCGACGACGGGUAGCCGGCCUGAGAGGGUGACCGGCCACACUGGGACUGAGACACGGCCCAGACUCCUACGGGAGGCAGCAGUGGGGAAUAUUGCACAAUGGGCGCAAGCCUGAUGCAGCAACGCCGCGUGAGGGACGAAGGCCUUCGGGUUGUAAACCUCUUUUAGUAGGGAAGAAGCGACUGGGUUUUCCUGGGAGUGACGGUACCUGCAGAAAAAGCACCGGCUAACUACGUGCCAGCAGCCGCGGUAAUACGUAGGGUGCAAGCGUUGUCCGGAAUUAUUGGGCGUAAAGAGCUCGUAGGCGGUUUGUCGCGUCUGCUGUGAAAACCCGAGGCUCAACCUCGGGCCUGCAGUGGGUACGGGCAGACUAGAGUGCGGUAGGGGAGAUUGGAAUUCCUGGUGUAGCGGUGGAAUGCGCAGAUAUCAGGAGGAACACCAAUGGCGAAGGCAGAUCUCUGGGCCGUAACUGACGCUGAGGAGCGAAAGCAUGGGGAGCGAACAGGAUUAGAUACCCUGGUAGUCCAUGCCGUAAACGUUGGGAACUAGAUGUGGGGACCAUUCCACGGUCUCCGUGUCGCAGCUAACGCAUUAAGUUCCCCGCCUGGGGAGUACGGCCGCAAGGCUAAAACUCAAAGGAAUUGACGGGGGCCCGCACAAGCGGCGGAGCAUGCGGAUUAAUUCGAUGCAACGCGAAGAACCUUACCAAGGCUUGACAUAUA